GCUGAUCUUCUCGUCACCUUAUUUCCUGCGCUUGGCGCUGGUUGAUGUUGCUGUGACAACUGCCACCGACUGCGACUCCUUGCCAGUGAGCCGGACAAGGUACCUACAAGGCGGCGUUAGGUUGCCUGAUCGGGAAGGCUGAAAAAGGCUGUCCUGGGAAGGGCACGACGCGAGCAGCGCCGUAAACGUUUAGCCAAGCGACCUACCGUUAGAGGAUAUCACAGCCGCGUGUAACCAUGAGCCCGAGCCCUUCCCCCGGAGAUUCUCAUACAUCCUAGCCGAUAGUAUCAGAUUGCUGGCCCAUAGCUGGGGAUCAGGUAUGUCCGUUGAGCACGUGCUAGGGGAAGCUCUCCUCUUUGGCCUCUUUACGCCCUCAAAGUAUCAGCGAAGGUUAUUAUAAACUCAAGUCAACCACGGAAGCAGGGCUGCUCUACUGCUGCUGCUGUCGAAGUUUAGGUACCCAAUGCCUCGCUUAUCAAAAUUUGCCACCCCCCCUUUUGUCACUUCAUGCCAUUGCAGCACCAACAAGACUCACGACGUGACCGCCGCGGCGUGGGACGGAGGUUUCCACGGCGGGGGAAAGGAUGCGGCUCAGCAGGAGGUGUGAUCUCAAGUGACUGCUCAUUUUCAUGCCGGUUGCCGCGCUGUGCUCUUUUGGCCUCACCGUGUACGUUUGGUCGGAGAUCCGAGCAUUGGGUUCUGGCUUGAGGUUCUCCGAGGUAGUUCCAGUGUGGUCGUUGAGCGUAUUUUACUACCUGGAAUACAACAACGUACAGUUUGGGGUUGAUGGAGGACGCUGACCUUCCACCGCUUCGGGCAUUUCCCAUCAAAGGAAAUCAAGGCCAAUACCUGCCCGAGAAAGUGGUAUAGGAUACGGCUCAAUCUAAAGGGUCAGCUAUGAGUCAGCAGCUCAAUAUCGGACUCCAACUACCGACGGCAACGAGAUGCGUCGACAAUGCAUGAUCGCUUCCCCGGAUGAGAUGAUGACCACCCUCCUACUCGGCGCUGACGGAUGGGUGAGCCGCGCCGUGCCAUGGUUACCGCCUGACUGUUGUUAAUGUGACCUCGGGCGAGGUGGUGAUGUUCUGACGGUUUGAUGAACUGCCUAGGAGGGUAAUGGGAUUUGGAAGAAAGAGGCUCACCGCUUUGACCUCCCGCUGGCAUGACGGUUCGUCGUUUGGGAGGGCCGAAACGAGAUGACUCUUGUCAUCUGGUCUGUCGCACAAAGAAAGCCUACAGUACCCUGCCUGGCUUUGGGACACAGGAAGGCUGGCCUGGUAAUAGUGGUCUACACCCAGACACCCUACCGGUCCUCUGUCAGAGGUGGAAGAUCAUUUGGCGAUCACGCGUCCAUGAGACCAUCUCCAGACACUGGCUCGAUGGAUUCUUUGGUUUAUUUCUCUCAGAUCUUGAAAAAGAACCAAUCGAGAAG